rnacentral:rRNA from 1 species
GAAUUCACUAGUGAUUUCUGGUUGAUCCUGCCAGACCCGACUGCUAUCAGAGUGGGACUAAGCCAUGCGAGUCAACGUAGCAAUGCGUGGCGAACGGCUCAGUAACACGUAGUCAACAUGCCCAGGGGACGUGGAUAACCUCGGGAAACUGAGAUUAAACCGCGAUAGGUCAAGAUUUCUGGAAUGGAUCGUGUCUUAAAUCUACAUGGCCCCUGGAUUGGACUGCGGCCGAUCAGGCUGUUGGUGAGGUAAUGGCCCACCAAACCUAUAACCGGUACGGGCUCUGAGAGGAGAAGCCCGGAGAUGGCACUGAGACAAGGGCCCAGGCCCUAUGGGGCGCAGCAGGCGCGAAACCUCUGCAAUGGGCGAAAGCCUGACAGGGUUACUCUGAGUGAUUUCCGCUAAGGAGAUCUUUUGGCAGCUCUAAAAAUGGUGCAGAAUAAGGGGUGGGCAAGUCUGGUGUCAGCCGCCGCGGUAAUACCAGCACCCCGAGUGGUCGGGACGAUUAUUGGGCCUAAAGCAUCCGUAGCCGGUUGUGCAAGUCCUCCGUUAAAUCCAGCCGCUCAACGGAUGGGCUGCGGAGGAUACUACAGGACUAGGAGGCGGGAGAGGCAAGCGGUACUUAGUGGGUAGGGGUAAAAUCCUUUGAUCCAUUGAAGACCACCAGUGGCGAAGGCGGCUUGCCAGAACGCGCUCGACGGUGAGGGAUGAAAGCUGGGGGAGCAAACCGAAUUAGAUACCCGGGUAGUCCCAGCUGUAAACGAUGCAGACUCGGUGAUGGGCUAGCCUCGUGUCAGCCCAGUGCCGCAGGGAAGCCGUUAAGUCUGCCGCCUGGGGAGUACGGUCGCAAGACUGAAACUUAAAGGAAUUGGCGGGGGAGCACCACAAGGGGUGAAGCCUGCGGUUCAAUUGGAUUCAACGCCGGAAAUCGAAUUCCCGCGGCC